rnacentral:rRNA from 1 species
UAUGUGAUCGUCUCUCGCAUAUCAAUAAGCGGAGGAAAAGAAACUAACAAGGAUUCCCCUAGUAACGGCGAGUGAAGCGGGAAGAGCUCAAAUUUGAAAUCUUAAAGGGUUUCCCUUUACGAAUUGUAGUUUAAAGAAGUGUUUUCUGCUGAGGUUUUGGUAAAAGUUCUUUGGAAUAGGACAUCAUAGAGGGUGAGAAUCCCGUAUUUGACCUUUACUUUCAACUUUGUGAUACACUUUCAAAGAGUCGGAUUGUUUGGGAAUGCAGUCCAAAAUGGGUGGUAAAUUUCAUCUAAAGCUAAAUAUUGGCGAGAGACCGAUAGCGAACAAGUACCGUGAGGGAAAGAUGAAAAGAACUUUGAAAAGAGAGUUAAACAGUACGUGAAAUUGUCAAAAGGGAAGCGUUUGACACCAGUGUUGUUUUUCUGAAAAUCAAUUAAAGAACUGUUUAUGCUAAGCUGUUUAGACUUUAUCAGCUAAUCUGUUUAGUUUUGAGCUUUUCUUUAAUGCACUUUUCAGUUAACAAGUCAACAUCAAUUUCUUUUGCUGUAAAAAAGCUUGAGGAAGGUGGCUUGAGAUUCGUCUUAAGUGUUUAUAGCCUCUUGCCUAUGCAGUCGGAGAGAUUGAGGUCUGCAGCGUAGAUCCUUCGGGGCUAAAUGCAUUUGUGCUAAGUUAUAGCAUUUUAUAGACAACUUGUUGACUAUGAUUUGUCUUGUAGCUUACUCGCUUAUGUUAUUUUACCUACGCUUAGGAUGUUGACACACGCGCGUGCUCG